GACGAAUGCUGGCGGCGCGCUUAACACAUGCAAGUCGAACGGAAAGGCCUGCUUUCCCUUGUGGAUUGCGGGUACUCGAGUGGCGAACGGGUGAGUAACACGUGAGUGAUCUGCCCCCAACUUGGGUAUAAGCCUGGGAAACUGGGUCUAAUUCCCGAUAGGACUGCAGGGUGGUGCCUGUGGUGGAAAACGAUUUUCUAGUGGUUGGGGAUGAGCUCGCGGCCUAUCAGCUUGUUGGUGGGGUAAUGGCCUACCAAGGCGGCGACGGGUAGCCGGCCUGAGAGGGUGGACGGCCACAUUGGGACUGAGAUACGGCCCAGACUCCUACGGGAGGCAGCAGUGGGGAAUAUUGCACAAUGGGCGGAAGCCUGAUGCAGCGACGCCGCGUGGGGGAUGACGGCCUUCGGGUUGUAAACUCCUUUCGACCGCGAGGAAGCCACCUGGUUGGAAGGGUGGUGACGGUAGUGGUAGAAGAAGCACCGGCUAACUACGUG
rnacentral:rRNA from 1 species